rnacentral:rRNA from 1 species
AUUGAACGCUGGCGGCAGGCUUAACACAUGCAAGUCGAGCGAGCGGCGGACGGGUGAGUAAUGACUGGGAAACUGCCUGAUGGAGGGGGAUAACUACUGGAAACGGUAGCUAAUACCGCAUACUAUCGGAUGAACCCAUAUUGGAUUAGCUAGUAGGUGGGGUAAAGGCUCACCUAGGCGACGAUCUCUAGCUGGUCUGAGAGGAUGAUUAGCCACACUGGUACUGAGACACGGCCCAGACUCCUACGGGAGGAAGCAGUGGGGAAGAUUGCACAAUGGGCGCAAGCCGUAUGCAGCCAUGACGCGUGUAUGAAGAAGGCCUUAGGGUUGGAAUGUACUUUCAGCGGGGAGGCGUUACCCGCAGAAGAAGCACCGGCUAACUCCGUGCCAGCCGCCGCGGUAAUAC